rnacentral:rRNA from 1 species
GGUGAACGCUGGCGGCGUGCUUAACACAUGCAAGUCGCGCGGGGAAACCCCUUCGGGGGGAGUACCAGCGGCGCACGGGUGAGUAACACGUGGGUAACCUACCCCUCAGCGGGGGAUAACCGGGGGAAACUCCGGCUAAUACCCCAUAUUAUCCGGUGACGACAGUUGCUGGAUGAAAGGAGCGUUUGCUUCGUUGAGGGAUGGGCCCGCGGCCCAUCAGGUAGUUGGUGAGGUAAUGGCUCACCAAGCCUACGACGGGUAGCCGACCUGAGAGGGUGACCGGCCACAAGGGCACUGAGACACGGGCCCUACUCCUACGGGAGGCAGCAGUGGGGAAUUUUGGACAAUGGGCGAAAGCCUGAUCCAGCGACGCCGCGUGAGGGACGAAGCCCUUCGGGGUGUAAACCUCUGUUGUGAGGGACGAAUAAGAUCUGGAGGAAAUGCCAGAUCGAUGACGGUACCUCACGAGAAAGCCCCGGCUAACUACGUGCCAGCAGCCGCGGUAAUACGUAGGGGGCGAGCGUUACCCGGAUUCACUGGGCGUAAAGGGGGCGCAGGCGAUCCAGUAUGUCGGGUGUGAAAUCCCACAGCUCAACUGUGGAAUUGCGCCCGAAACUACUGGGUUUGGGGCUGGUAGAGGGAGACGGAACUGCUGGUGUAGGGGUGAAAUCCGUAGAUAUCAGCAGGAACGCCGGUGGGGAAGCCGGUCUCCUGGGCCAAGCCCGACGCUGAGGCCCGAAAGCUAGGGGAGCAAACCGGAUUAGAUACCCGGGUAGUCCUAGCCGUAAACGAUGCCCACUAGGUGUGGGGGAGUCAUUCCCUCCGUGCUGUAGCUAACGCGUUUAAGUGGGCCGCCUGGGGAGUACGCCCGCAGGGUGAAACUCAAGGAUUGGCGGGACCCCGCACAGCGUGAGCGUGUGGUUUAUUGGAUGCUAGCCAGACCUUACCAGGCUUGACAUGC